rnacentral:lncRNA from 1 species
CAGAACUUCGUCAAUUCGUCAAUGGCUGAACUUUCCCAACAGUAGAUCUCCACGACGGAUGGACUCCAUCCAAGUUUCUACGGUGGUCGACCGCCUUCCGAACUUCAUCCGAGCUCCCACAGGAGCCGGACUCCUUCCCCGAACUCCUACUGCAGGUAGACUUCGUCCGAGCUCCUACGGGAGUCAGACUUUAGCCUCGAGCUCCUAUUGCAGGUAGGCCUCAUCCAAAUUCAAACAAGGGUCAGACUUUGAGCCCCCACCACAAGCGAUCUACUCCAAGCUACCAC